rnacentral:rRNA from 1 species
ACGUAGGGUGCGAGCGUUAAUCGGAAUUACUGGGCGUAAAGCGUGCGCAGGCGGUUUUGUAAGACAGGUGUGAAAUCCCCGGGCUUAACCUGGGAACUGCGCUUGUGACUGCAAGACUCGAGUACGGCAGAGGGGGGUGGAAUUCCACGUGUAGCAGUGAAAUGCGUAGAGAUGUGGAGGAACACCGGUGGCGAAGGCGGCGACCUGGGCAGAUACUGACGCUGAGGUGCGAAAGCGUGGGGAGCAAACAGGA